UUACCUCAAAUUUGUAUGGAGUUGGAACGUUGGAACUUUCGCCUACGUUUGCCGCUAGGGGCGCUGUUCCAGUUGCAUAUAAAUUAUAGUUA
rnacentral:pre_miRNA from 1 species